GUAUAUAUGAGAAAGCCUCUCUCUCUCUCUCUCUCUCUCUCUCUCUCUAUAUAUAUAUAUAUAUAUAUAUAUAUAUAGAGAGAGAGAGAGAGAGUGAGUUUGGCAUCACUG
rnacentral:pre_miRNA from 1 species